GACGAACGCUGGCGGCGUGCCUAAUACAUGCAAGUCGAGCGAAGUUUUUCUGGUGCUUGCACCGGAAAAACUUAGCGGCGAACGGGUGAGUAACACGUAAAGAACCUGCCUCAUAGACUGGGACAACUAUUGGAAACGAUAGCUAAUACCGGAUAAUAGCAUUAACUGCAUGUUGAUGUUUAAAAGUUGGUUUUGCUAACACUAUGAGAUGGCUUUGCGGUGCAUUAGCUAGUUGGUGGGGUAAAGGCCUACCAAGGCGACGAUGCAUAGCCGACCUGAGAGGGUGAUCGGCCACACUGGGACUGAGACACGGCCCAGACUCCUACGGGAGGCAGCAGUAGGGAAUCUUCCGCAAUGGGCGAAAGCCUGACGGAGCAACGCCGCGUGAGUGAAGAAGGAUUUCGGUUCGUAAAGCUCUGUUGUUAGGGAAGAAUGAUUGUGUAGUAACUAUACACAGUAGAGACGGUACCUAACCAGAAAGCCACGGCUAACUACGUG
rnacentral:rRNA from 1 species